UACGGAGGGGGCGAGCGUUAUUCGGAAUUAUUGGGCGUAAAGGGCGCGUAGGCGGCCCGGUAAGUCAAAGGUGAAAUCCCUCGGCUCAACUGAGGAACUGCCUUUGAAACUGUCGGGCUUGAGGCCGGGAGGGGGUAGCGGAAUUCCCAGUGUAGCGGUGAAAUGCGUAGAUAUCGAGAGGAACACCUGCGGCGAAGGCGGGUUGCUGGGCUGACACUGACGCUGAGGCGCGAAAGCCAGGGGAGCGAACGGG
rnacentral:rRNA from 1 species